rnacentral:misc_RNA from 1 species
GAUGAAGAACGUAGCGAAAUGCGAUAAGUAGUGUGAAUUGCAGAAUUCAGUGAAUCAUCGAAUCUUUGAACGCACAUUGCGCCCCUUGGUAUCCCGAGGGGCAUGCCUGUUCGAGCGUCAUUUCACCUCUCAAGCCUGGCUUGGUGUUGGGCGACGUCCCCUUUGGGGACGCGCCUCGAAACGCUCGGCGGCGUGGCACCGGCUUUAAGCGUAGCAGAAUCUUUCGCUUUGGAAGUCGGGGCCCCGUCUGCCGGAAGACCUACUCGCAAGGUUGACCUCGGAUCAGGCAGGGAUACCCGCUGAACUUAAGCAUAUCAAUAAGCGGAGGA